rnacentral:rRNA from 1 species
UACAGAGACUGCAAGCGUUAUUCGGAUUCACUGGGCGUAAAGGGUGCGCAGGUGGCCGUGUGUGUCAGAUGUGAAAUCCCGGAGCUUAACUCCGGAACUGCGUCUGAAACUACACGGCUAGAGCAUUGGAGAGGGUAGUGGAAUUCACGGUGUAGCAGUGAAAUGCGUAGAUAUCAGGAGGAACACCGGUGGCGAAGGCGCACAUCUGGCCCGAUACUGACGCUGAGGCGCGAAAGCUAGGGGAGCAAACGGG